rnacentral:rRNA from 1 species
GGUUUUCGGAUCGUAAAACUCUGUUGUUAGGGAAGAACAAGUACCGUUCGAAUAGGGCGGUACCUUGACGGUACCUAACCAGAAAGCCACGGCUAACUACGUGCCAGCAGCCGCGGUAAUACGUAGGUGGCAAGCGUUGUCCGGAAUUAUUGGGCGUAAAGCGCGCGCAGGUGGUUUCUUAAGUCUGAUGUGAAAGCCCACGGCUCAACCGUGGAGGGUCAUUGGAAACUGGGAAACUUGAGUGCARAARAGGAAAGUGGAAUUCCACGUGUAGCGGUGAAAUGCGUARAGAUGUGGAGGAACACCAGUGGCGAAGGCGACUUUCUGGUCUGUAACUGACACUGAGGCGCGAAAGCGKGGGGAGCAAACAGGAUUAGAUACCCUGGUAGUCCACGCCGUAAACRAUGAGUGCUAAGUGUUGGAGGGUUUCCGCCCUUCAGUGCUGCAGCUAACGCAUUAAGCACUCCGCCKGGGGAGUACGGUCGCAAGACUGAAACUCAAAGGAAUUGACGGGGGCCCGCACAAGCGGUGGAGCAUGUGGUUUAAUUCGAAGCAACGCGAAGAACCUUACCAGGUCUUGACAUCCUCUGACAACCCUAGAGAUAGGGCGUUCCCCUUCGGGGGACAGAGUGACAGGUGGUGCAUGGUUGUCGUCAGCUCGUGUCGUGAGAUGUUGGGUUAAGUCCCGCAACGAGCGCAACCCUUGAUCUUAGUUGCCAG